UUGAUGACCAUCGAAUCUCUCACUUGCCCUCCCUCGCUCACUCUCUUACCGCGUCGGCCACACAAACCCUCUCUUGCUUUCCGCCCUCUACUUCCCCAAUCCCAAAACCCAACUUUUCUUAAAAUUCCUGCGAUCAAUUUCUUCAGAAACUAGCUUGCAGGGAGAAAGAGAGUGAAGAGUACCCGGAGGGUGAGCGAGAGAGAAAUGGAUUCGGAUCAAGGGAAGCUUUUUAUUGGUGGGAUAUCGUGGGAUACGACGGAGGACAAGCUGAAAGAUCAUUUCAGCAACUACGGUGAUGUCUUGCACACUUCCGUUAUGAGAGAGAAGAACACUGGGAAGCCCAGAGGCUUUGGGUUUGUUGUGUUCGCAGAUCCUUCGAUUCUCGAUAGGGUUCUCGAGGAAGAGCACAAAAUCGAUGGCAGAACGGUGGAUGCUAAGAAGGCCUUCUCCAGAGAGGAUCAACAAAUUUCUGCCACUUCCAGGGCAGGAAAUCCCAACUCUUAUAGAAAUUCAGGAAAUGGUGGAAAUAUCAGGACCAAAAAAAUAUUUGUUGGAGGGUUGCCUCCUACAUUGACUGAAGAAAAGUUCCGUCAGUAUUUUGAGGGUUAUGGUCAUGUUACUGAUGUAGUGGUCAUGUAUGACCAGAAUACUGGACGGCCACGUGGAUUUGGGUUUAUUUCAUUUGACUCUGAAGAUGCAGUUGACAGGGUUUUGCAUAAACCAUUUCAUGAUUUAAAUGGUAAGCAAGUAGAAGUGAAGCGUGCACUUCCAAAGGAUGCUAAUCCUGGUGCUAGUGGCCGUACUAUGGGUGGUGUAGGAGGAGGUGGCGGCGGCUAUCAGGGGUAUGGGGCAUCUGGUGGCAACCAAAAUGCAUAUGAUGGUCGGAUGGAUUCUGGUAGGUAUGUGCAGCCUCCAAGCACUGGAGGUGGAUUUCCACCUUAUGGGUCUUCAGGAUAUAGUGCUCCUGGGUACAGUUAUGGUCCUGCUAAUAAUGGCAUUGGUUAUGGCGGAUAUGGAAGUUAUGGUGGUGCAAGCACUGGGUAUGGGGGACCUGCUGGUGCAACUUAUGGGAAUCCCAACAUCCCUAACGCUGCUUAUGCUGGUGGUCCACCCGGUGCCCCAAGGAGUUCAUGGCCUGCUCAAGCUCCCUCUGGUUAUGGUUCUAUGGGCUAUGGGAAUGCUGCUGCUUGGGGUGCUCCAGGUGGUGGUGCUGGAUCUGGUGGUGGCGGUCCUGGUGCAGCCCCUGCAAGUCAAUCACCCAGUGGGGCUGCUGGUUAUGGGAAUCAAGGGUAUGGUUAUGGUGGUUAUGGUGGGUAUGGUGGAAGUGAUAGUUCUUAUGGGAACCCUGGCGUAUAUGGUGCUGUUGGUGGGCGUUCUGGGAGUGCCCCAAAUAGCUAUGCCAGUGGUCCAGGAGGAAAUGAACCACAAGGAAGUGGUGGCAACUACAAUGGAAGUGGCUAUGGUGAUGCAAAUGGAAGUUCAGGAUAUGGAAAUGCUGCAUGGAGAUCUGAACCUGCGCAGCCAUCUGGAAAUUAUGGGACUCCUCAGGUAAAUGGUCCCCAUGGUGGGCAAGUUGGUUAUGGCAGCAGCUAUGGCAGUGCACAAUCACGGCAGGCCCAACAGCAGUAAUUUUGACAGAUAAAUUUUCAACUGGAUCAUCAAUUUCAUCUCUUGGACCCCUCUCCACUCUUGAAUUAUGAGAUCGUCAUGAAUUCUUCUGCGCAGCAGCAAUUGAGUAGCCCAAGCUCAAUGUCAAUACACUUUGGGACUGGAGGAGAGGUGCACAAGUGCUGAAGUGGAGCCAAGUGUCCACUUAUGGCUGAACAGGAACUUCAUAAUGGGCUUGGUCAGGGGGUUGAUCAGCAUGCUAUGAACUUUGUUCAGUCAAGUUGUGUUUUUCUGGGACAAAGCAGCUUCACACUUCGAGAUUCCAGGCUUGUUCAAGUAUAUGAUAAAAUUCUUAACCUACAGUCUGGUUUGUGGUGGUUGACAGAAAGUAAGGUGGAUGGUUUGCGGAAUGAGCAGUUGGAAUUGUUAAAUUUGAGAAGGCUAAGAGGAAAGAUUAUAUGUUUGUGUCAGGGAAGUGGGAACCCUGACGUCUAAUUGUUCUUCUCGGGCGUUUCCUUUGAUAUAUUCUGCGCGUCCUUCAUUACCUAUUUCAGUUUUUAAACUUCACACGAUCGAAGUAAACAAUUGAUUAUGUGAUGAGAUGAACUCGGACCAUGGAAGGUUAAUGUAAUUGAGCCUUGAAGGAGGCAUGGUUUUUAUUUCAUAGCAGCUUUGAAUGGCUUUUCAAGUUAAGCCGUCUUUGGCUCU